AGUGAACGCUGGCGGUAGGCCUAACACAUGCAAGUCGAACGGCAGCACAGUAAGAGCUUGCUCUUACGGGUGGCGAGUGGCGGACGGGUGCGGAAUACAUCGGAAUCUACUAUUUCUUGGGGGAGAACGUAGGGAAACUUAUGCUAAAACCGCAUCCGACCUACGGGUGAAAGCAGGGGAUGUUCGGACUUUUCGCGGUUGAAUGAGCCGAUGUCGUAUUAGCUAGUUGGCGGAGUAAAGGCCCACCACGGCGACGAUCCGUAGCUGGUCUGGGAGAAUGAUCGGCCCUACUGGAAGAGGGAAACAGUCCACAGUUCUACGCCAGUGCGCGGAGGGGAAUAUUGGACAAUGGACGCAAGCCUGACCCAGCCAUACCGCGUGGGGGGAGAUGGGCAGAGGGUUGUAAAGCCCUUUUGUUGGGAAAGAAAUGCAGCAUAUUAAUGCCCCGCUGUUCUGACGGGACCCAAAGAAUGGACACCGGCUAGCUUCGUG
rnacentral:rRNA from 1 species